rnacentral:misc_RNA from 1 species
GAUGAAGAACGCAGCGAAAUGCGAUACGUAAUGUGAAUUGCAAAUUCAGUGAAUCAUCGAGUCUUUGAACGCACAUUGCGCCCCCUGGUAUUCCGGGGGGCAUGCCUGUCCGAGCGUCAUUGCUGCCCUCAAGCACGGCUUGUGUGUUGGGCCCCGUCCUCCGAUCCCGGGGGACGGGCCCGAAAGGCAGCGGCGGCACCGCGUCCGGUCCUCGAGCGUAUGGGGCUUUGUCACCCGCUCUGUAGGCNNNNNCGGCGCUUGCCGAUCAACCCAAAUUUUUAUCCAGGUUGACCUCGGAUCAGGUAGGGAUACCCGCUGAACUUAAGCAUAUCAAUAAGCGGAGGA